CACAUGAUUUUCUCUCUCUUCUCCCACUUCACACUUCUCUCAUACAUACCUCAUCUCUCCCUCUUUAAGUUCUUUUAUCAUUUCCCCCUCUUGUCUCGUGAGUGUUGGUGGUAGCAAAACAAAAACAAAUAAUCAAUUUUCGAAAAAUUCAACAGGUAUUUGUGAAGGACUUAUGAGCUGGAAUUUGAUCCUUUGAAUCAUGGUGGUGCUCUCAUGCUAAUUUUUGUGAACCGUUGCUUCCUUAAAUCCGUUAUGGGAUCGGUGGUUUGAAGGCCCUCAAGCUUCUCAAGGUUGCAGAUGCUGCAUUCUUUGAAAAUAAGUAUUGAAUACUAAUUGCCAUUGUAUCCAUAAUAUAACAGAUUGAGUAGGAUUUUGUAAUUUUUGAAACAAUAUUAAAACAUUGUGAUCCUACUUUUUGGUUAAGUUUAUUCGGAGACAAACAAAUACAAUUGCUCUAACCUUAGCAAUGCCUGUUGUAUUGUGGUUUUGCCACCGCAUUUUUGACGUUUUACCUUUAGUAUUUUGCGUAUUAUUUUUAAUGAAUUGAAUUAAAUUGUUUUAA